ACUCCUACGGGAGGCAGCAGUGAGGAAUAUUGGACAAUGGGCGCAAGCCUGAUCCAGCCAUGCCGCGUGCAGGAUGACGGUCCUAUGGAUUGUAAACUGCUUUUAUACGAGAAGAAACACUCCGACGUGUCGGAGCUUGACGGUAUCGUAAGAAUAAGGAUCGGCUAACUCCGUGCCAGCAGCCGCGGUAAUACGGAGGAUCCAAGCGUUAUCCGGAAUCAUUGGGUUUAAAGGGUCCGUAGGCGGUUUAAUAAGUCAGUGGUGAAAGCCCAUCGCUCAACGGUGGAACGGCCAUUGAUACUGCUAGACUUGAAUUAUUAGGAAGUAACUAGAAUAUGUAGUGUAGCGGUGAAAUGCUUAGAGAUUACAUGGAAUACCAAUUGCGAAGGCAGGUUACUACUAAUGGAUUGACGCUGAUGGACGAAAGCGUGGGUAGCGAACAGGAUUAGAUACCCUGGUAGUC
rnacentral:rRNA from 1 species